GACGAACGCUGGCGGCGUGCUUAACACAUGCAAGUCGAACGGAAAGGCCCUGCUUUUGUGGGGUGCUCGAGUGGCGAACGGGUGAGUAACACGUGAGUAACCUGCCCUUGACUUUGGGAUAACUUCAGGAAACUGGGGCUAAUACCGGAUAGGAGCUCCUGCUGCAUGGUGGGGGUUGGAAAGUUUCGGCGGUUGGGGAUGGACUCGCGGCUUAUCAGCUUGUUGGUGGGGUAGUGGCUUACCAAGGCUUUGACGGGUAGCCGGCCUGAGAGGGUGACCGGGCACAUGGGGACUGAGAUACGGACCAGACUCCUACGGGAGGCAGCAGGGGGGAAUAUUGCACAAUGGGCGGAAGCCUGAUGCAGAAACGCCGCGAGCGGGAUGACGGCCUUCGGGUGGGAAACCGCUUUCGCCUGUGACGAAGCGUGAGUGACGGUAAUGGGUAAAGAAGCACCGGCUAACUACGUG
rnacentral:rRNA from 1 species